rnacentral:rRNA from 1 species
AUUGAACGCUGGCGGCAUGCCUUACACAUGCAAGUCGAACGGUAACAGGUCUUCGGAUGCUGACGAGUGGCGAACGGGUGAGUAAUACAUCGGAACGUGCCUAGUAGUGGGGGAUAACUACUCGAAAGAGUGGCUAAUACCGCAUGAGAUCUACGGAUGAAAGCAGGGGAUCGCAAGACCUUGUGCUACUAAAGCGGCCGAUGGCAGAUUAGGUAGUUGGUGGGAUAAAAGCUUACCAAGCCGACGAUCUGUAGCUGGUCUGAGAGGACGAUCAGCCACACUGGGACUGAGACACGGCCCAGACCCCUACGGGAGGCAGCGGUGGGGAAUUUUGGACAAUGGGCGCAAGCCUGGUCCAGCAAUGCCGCGUGCAGGAUGAAGGCCUUCGGGUUGUAAACUGCUUUUGUACGGAACGAAAAGCCCUGGGUUAAUACCCUGGGGUCAUGACGGUACCGUAAGAAUAAGCACCGGCUAACUACGUGCCAGCCGCCGCCGUAACAC